rnacentral:rRNA from 1 species
UACGUAGGGUGCGAGCGUUGUCCGGAAUUAUUGGGCGUAAAGGGCUCGUAGGCGGUUUGUCGCGUCGGGGAGUGAAAAACGCCGUGCUUAACACGGCGCUUGCUUUCGAUACGGGCAGACUAGAGGUAUGCAGGGGGAGAACGGAAUUCCUGGUGUAGCGGUGAAAAUGCGCAGAUAUCAGGAGGAACACCGGUGGCGAAGGCGGCGACCUGGGUAGAUACUGACGCUGAGGCGCGAAAGCGUGGGGGAGCAAACAGG